AGAGUUUGAUCAUGGCUCAGAUUGAACGCUGGCGGCAGGCCUAACACAUGCAAGUCGAACGGUAACAGGAAGCAGCUUGCUGUUUUGCUGACGAGUGGCGGACGGGUGAGUAAUGUCUGGGAAACUGCCUGAUGGAGGGGGAUAACUACUGGAAACGGUAGCUAAUACCGCAUAACGUCGCAAGACCAAAGAGGGGGACCUUCGGGCCUCUUGCCAUCGGAUGUGCCCAGAUGGGAUUAGCUUGUUGGUGGGGUAACGGCUCACCAAGGCGACGAUCCCUAGCUGGUCUGAGAGGAUGACCAGCCACACUGGAACUGAGACACGGUCCAGACUCCUACGGGAGGCAGCAGUGGGGAAUAUUGCACAAUGGGCGCAAGCCUGAUGCAGCCAUGCCGCGUGUAUGAAGAAGGCCUUCGGGUUGUAAAGUACUUUCAGCGGGGAGGAAGGGAGUAAAGUUAAUACCUUUGCUCAUUGACGUUACCCGCAGAAGAAGCACCGGCUAACUCCGUGCCAGCAGCCGCGGUAAUACGGAGGGUGCAAGCGUUAAUCGGAAUUACUGGGCGUAAAGCGCACGCAGGCGGUUUGUUAAGUCAGAUGUGAAAUCCCCGGGCUCAACCUGGGAACUGCAUCUGAUACUGGCAAGCUUGAGUCUCGUAGAGGGGGGUAGAAUUCCAGGUGUAGCGGUGAAAUGCGUAGAGAUCUGGAGGAAUACCGGUGGCGAAGGCGGCCCCCUGGACGAAGACUGACGCUCAGGUGCGAAAGCGUGGGGAGCAAACAGGAUUAGAUACCCUGGUAGUCCACGCCGUAAACGAUGUCGACUUGGAGGUUGUGCCCUUGAGGCGUGGCUUCCGGAGCUAACGCGUUAAGUCGACCGCCUGGGGAGUACGGCCGCAAGGUUAAAACUCAAAUGAAUUGACGGGGGCCCGCACAAGCGGUGGAGCAUGUGGUUUAAUUCGAUGCAACGCGAAGAACCUUACCUGGUCUUGACAUCCACGGAAGUUUUCAGAGAUGAGAAUGUGCCUUCGGGAACCGUGAGACAGGUGCUGCAUGGCUGUCGUCAGCUCGUGUUGUGAAAUGUUGGGUUAAGUCCCGCAACGAGCGCAACCCUUAUCCUUUGUUGCCAGCGGUCCGGCCGGGAACUCAAAGGAGACUGCCAGUGAUAAACUGGAGGAAGGUGGGGAUGACGUCAAGUCAUCAUGGCCCUUACGACCAGGGCUACACACGUGCUACAAUGGCGCAUACAAAGAGAAGCGACCUCGCGAGAGCAAGCGGACCUCAUAAAGUGCGUCGUAGUCCGGAUUGGAGUCUGCAACUCGACUCCAUGAAGUCGGAAUCGCUAGUAAUCGUGGAUCAGAAUGCCACGGUGAAUACGUUCCCGGGCCUUGUACACACCGCCCGUCACACCAUGGGAGUGGGUUGCAAAAGAAGUAGGUAGCUUAACCUUCGGGAGGGCGCUUACCACUUUGUGAUUCAUGACUGGGGUGAAGUCGUAACAAGGUAACCGUAGGGGAACCUGCGGUUGGAUCACCU
rnacentral:rRNA from 1 species